GGACAUAGCUCUGGAAAGCGGUAAGCACCGAAGGAGUAAUACUCUCAGGUAUCAAGACAGAGAUAAAGGC
rnacentral:ncRNA from 2 species